rnacentral:rRNA from 1 species
GUUAUCGUUUAUUUGAUAAUACCUUACUACUUGGAUAACCGUGGUAAUUCUAGAGCUAAUACAUGCUAAAAACCCCGACUUCGGGAGGGGUGUAUUUAUUAGAUAAAAAACCAAUGCCCUCCGGGGCUCCUUGGUGAUUCAUAAUAACUUCUCAGAUCGCAUGGCUCCAUGCCGGCGACGGUUCAUUCAAAUUUCUGCCCUAUCAACUUUCGAUGGUAAGGUAGUGGCUUACCAUGGUUUCAACGGGUAACGGGGAAUUAGGGUUCGAUUCCGGAGAGGGAGCCUGAGAAACGGCUACCACAUCCAAGGAAGGCAGCAGGCGCGCAAAUUACCCAAUUCCGACANUGGAGAGGUAGUGACAAUAAAUACUGAUACAGGGCUCUUUUGGGUCUUGUAAUUGGAAUGAGUACAAUUUAAACCUCUUAACGAGGAACAAUUGGAGGGCAAGUCUGGUGCCAGCAGCCGCGGUAAUUCCAGCUCCAAUAGCGUAUAUUAAAGUUGUUGCAGUUAAAAAGCUCGUAGUUGAACCUUUGGCCUGGCUGGCAGGUCCGCCUCACCGCGUGCACUUGUCCGGCCGGGCCUUCUCUUCUGGAGAACCGCAUGCCCUUCACUGGGUGUGUUGGGGACCAGGACUUUUACUUUGAAAAAAUUAGAGUGUUCAAAGCAGGCCUUUGCUCGAAUACGUUAGCAUGGAAUAAUAGAAUAGGACGUGCGGUCCUAUUUUGUUGGUUUCUAGGACCGCCGUAAUGAUUAAUAGGGACAGUCGGGGGCAUCAGUAUUCAAUUGUCAGAGGUGAAAUUCUUGGAUUUAUUGAAGACUAACUACUGCGAAAGCAUUUGCCAAGGAUGUUUUCAUUAAUCAGUGAACGAAAGUUAGGGGAUCGAAGACGAUCAGAUACCGUCGUAGUCUUAACCAUAAACUAUGCCGACUAGGGAUCGGGCGGUGUUUCUAUUGUGACCCGCUCGGCACCUUACGAGAAAUCAAAGUG